GAAUUCAGUGAAUCAUCGAAUCUUUGAACGCACAUUGCGCCCCUUGGUAUUCCGAGGGGCAUGCCUGUUCGAGCGUCAUUACACCACUCAAGCACUGCUUGGUAUUGGGCAUCGUCCGUCGAAAGACGGGCGUGCCUCGAAGACCUCGGCGGGGCCUAACCGGCUUCGGGCGUAGUAGAGUUAAAUCGAACGUCUUAURAGUCUGGUUAGAACCCAUUGCCGUAAAACCUUUAAUUUUCUAGGUUGACCUCGGAUCAGGUAGGGAUACCCGCUGAACUUAAGCAUAUCAAUAAGCGGAGGAAAAGAAACCAACAGGGAUUGCCCUAGUAACGGCGAGUGAAGCGGCAAUAGCUCAAAUUUGAAAGCUGGCCUCUGGUCCGCAUUGUAAUUUGUAGAGGAUGCUUUUAGGCAGCCGCCGGUCUAAGUUCCUUGGAACAGGACGUCAUAGAGGGUGAGAAUCCCGUAUGUGACCGGCUCAGGCACCUUCUGUAAAGCUCCUUCGACGAGUCGAGUUGUUUGGGAAUGCAGCUCUAAAUGGGAGGUAAAUUUCUUCUAAAGCUAAAUACCGGCGAGAGACCGAUAGCGCACAAGUAGAGUGAUCGAAAGAUGAAAAGCACUUUGGAAAGAGAGUUAAAAAGCACGUGAAAUUGUUGAAAGGGAAGCGCUUGCAAUCAGACUUGGCCUCGRRUGUUCAACCGGUCUUCUGACCGGCCUAUUCAUUCGGGGCCAGGCCAGCAUCAGUUUCGGCGGCCGGAUAAAGGCCUUGGGAAUGUGGCUUUUYCUUCGGGGGAAGUGUUAUAGCCCAGGGUGUAAUACGGCCAGCU
rnacentral:rRNA from 1 species